rnacentral:rRNA from 1 species
GACGUAGGGGGCCAGCGUUGCUCGGAAUUACUGGGCGUAAAGGGUUCGUAGGCGGUGCGGCAAGUCGGAAGUGAAAUCUCCAGGCUUAACUUGGAGGCUGCUCCCGAAACUGCCGUGCUAGAGUGCGGGAGAGGCGAGUGGAAUUGCAGGUGUAGCGGUGAAAUGCGUAGAUAUCUGCAGGAACACCCGUGGCGAAGGCGGCUCGCUGGACCGCAACUGACGCUGAGGAACGAAAGCUAGGGGAGCAAACAGG